GGUUCGGUAGCAUAAUUGGUGAUGCAGCGGUCUUGUAAACCGCAGAUUGUGGGUUCGACCCCCACCCGGACCUCCA
rnacentral:tRNA from 1 species